rnacentral:rRNA from 1 species
CUGGAUUCGCUAGUAAUCGCGCAUCAGCCAUGGCGCGGUGAAUACGUUCCCGGGUCUUGUACACACCGCCCGUCACACCACGAGAGUUUGUAACACCCGAAGUCGGUGAGGUAACCUUUUAGGAGCCAGCCGCCUAAGGUGGGAUAGAUGAUUGGGGUGAAGUCGUAACAAGGUAGCCGUAUCGGAAGGUGCGGCUGGAUCACCUCCUUUCUAAGGAG